rnacentral:lncRNA from 1 species
UUCAAGUAAAGGAACAACUGAAGCAGCUAGGCUAUAUCAACCACUCUAUGAGCUUGCUUUACAAGCGUUAUCUCAAUUAGGAGCAGAAGAUAAUGAACACGGGGAGGAGGAAUGUUUCAAAAUAGAUGAUCCAAAUGCUAAUAGCCCUUCUAUUGAAGAGUUGGACAAAACCUUUAGCAUUGAUCGUUAUCCUGUGAGAAUGCAGUGCGAUGGUAACACAGAUUUAUCGAGUGAUUUCGGUGUUAAGUCAGCAAUGGAAAAAUCUAUCGACGCCUUCAGAAAAAUACUUCGAGAAUAAAAAUUGGAUUCUUAUUUCAGGGAAAGCUACUUU